rnacentral:lncRNA from 1 species
UGGUUUAUGACAUUAAAAGUGUGACAUGAUUCAUGACAUUAAAAGGGUAAAAGUGUCACAAAGUCUAAUUCUAGCAUAUGCUUAUACUUGUGGGUCACAUAUCUUGAUAGGAAUAUCAUAUUGACUUGGUUGUUGACAAUUGUGAUAUAGUUCUUAGCUCAUGACUCGUACCCUUUCUAUUCAAAGUGCUUAGAGAUUAUUUUUGAAAAUAUCAUAAAACCAUAGUGUCACUUACUCAAUAGUAAGAGAAUUCCUACCACAGCCAUAUAUGUUCAUACAUUAUUCAAAACCCUUCUAUAUAUGCUACCUGUACUUGUGUUGAGUUUGGUCAAACCUUGUGACCCUAGUUGAGAAUUAUGUCAUAGUCCCAAGAUCAAGAUCACACACACCACAUAUAUAUGCUGCUUCUACACUGGGAGUACGCAAAAACAUGCAAUCCAUUUCCACCAUAUAGAUGCUCCAUGUUUUAAGGUUUAUAAUAUCUCUCUCUAAGUAUUGGUUAUAAGAUGAGACACAAAGGCUAUGCUUAGUAAAAAAAAUUGGGCACAUGAAGGUCCAUUGCUUUUGAAAAAAAUAAAAAAAAGCUAGCCAUGUCUCAAAUAAAAUAGAGAAAGAGAGAGGGAUCUUAUCCAAUAUAUGAGCAUUCUAUUCUAGUCAUUCUUCACACGCUUACACAUCUUGAUCUAGGAUUCUGACAUUCUUCUCCUUGGAUCCUUGUUUUGACUUUACAAUAUAUACAAUGCAAGUAUGCUAUCCUGUUUCUCCCUACCUGAGCCCCACAUAAGACUAAUAGAUGUAGGAUGAAACAAAAGAAGGCAAUCUUAUGCUAUGCCU